rnacentral:rRNA from 1 species
AUUGAACGCUGGCGGCAGGCCUAACACAUGCAAGUCGCGCGGAGCGGCGGACGGGUGAGUAAUGCCUAGGAAUCUGCCUGGUAGUGGGGGAUAACGUCCGGAAACGGGCGCUCCUACCGCAUACUAUCAGAUAAGCCUAGGUCGGAUUAGCUAGUUGGUGGGGUAAAGGCCUCCCAAGGCGACGAACCGUAACUGGUCUGAGCGGAUGAUCAGUCACACGUGAACGGAUAAACGUGCCAGACUCCUACGGGAGUCAGUAGUGGGGAAUAUUGGACAAGGGACUAAAGCCGGAUCCAGCCAUGCCGCGUGUGUGAAGAAGGUCUGCGGAUUGUAAAGCACUUUAAGUUGGGAGGCGUUACCAACAGAAUAAGCACCGGCUAACUUCGUGCCAGCAGCCGCGGUAAUUC